rnacentral:rRNA from 1 species
UACGAAGGGGGCUAGCGUUGCUCGGAAUCACUGGGCGUAAAGGGUGCGUAGGCGGGUCUUUAAGUCAGGGGUGAAAUCCUGGAGCUCAACUCCAGAACUGCCUUUGAUACUGAAGAUCUUGAGUGCGGGAGAGGUGAGUGGAACUGCGAGUGUAGAGGUGAAAUUCGUAGAUAUUCGGAGGAACACCAGUGGCGAAGGCGGCUCACUGGUCCAUUACUGACGCUGAGGUGCGAAAGCGUGGGGAGCAAACAGG